UCCGUAGGGCGCAAGCGUUGUCCGGAAUUAUUGGGCGUAAAGAGCUCGUAGGCGGCUUGUCACGUCGGGUGUGAAAGCCCGGGGCUUAACCCCGGGUCUGCAUUCGAUACGGGCUGGCUAGAGUGUGGUAGGGGAGAUCGGAAUUCCUGGUGUAGCGGUGAAAUGCGCAGAUAUCAGGAGGAACACCGGUGGCGAAGGCGGAUCGCUGGGCCAUUACUGACGCUGAGGAGCGAAAGCGUGGGGAGCGAACAGG
rnacentral:rRNA from 1 species